rnacentral:rRNA from 1 species
UACAGAGGUGGCAAGCGUUGUUCGGAAUUACUGGGCGUAAAGGGCGCGUAGGCGGCCCGUCAAGUCCCGUGUGAAAGCCCCCGGCUCAACCGGGGAACUGUACGGGAAACUAGCAGGCUUGAGUUCGGGAGAGGGAAGCGGAAUUUCGGGUGUAGCGGUGAAAUGCGCAGAUAUCCGAAGGAACACCGGUGGCGAAGGCGGCUUCCUGGACCGACACUGACGCUGAGGCGCGAAAGCUAGGGGAGCAAACGGG